UUAUAAUAAAUAAAAUAGCAAAUUAAGUAGAUGAUUCUAUUCCAUUUAUAUUAAAAAUCUUAAAAUUUAUUGCAUGACAGAUAAUUCCAAACAUUCAUUUCUGCCAAUUGGAGCGUGUUCAGGAAGCCCAAAUCUAUCAUACCUUGACGAAAUUGAAGCGUUCACUGACAUAAACUUCGAAAAUGUCGAGUAGUGUUUUCAGAAAAAAAUGGUUGGAUAAAAAAUUACUUAAAUUUUCAGAGAUGACAAUAUGAAUAUCAAACAACGGAAAAUUAUGAAUGUAUUCUGCCUUUUUUUUUCCUUUUUUGUGAUAAUGUAAAAAGCCAAAGCCUUGCAAAAUUGUAGUCCUUCAUUCGACUUUUUUAUGAAAUUUUUUUGCCGUUUGACACCCAACAUGUAAAUUAAGAAAAUUUGAGCUUUUUGAAGGAAAUAAACAAGCUCGACAAAAAAAAUUAAGACAACGAAUUCGAUUGUCCGGAAUGAAAUUUUGCCAAGGCCUCCGAAUAAUCGAGUCUGGGCUGUAUUUAAAACCACAAACUUCAAUGUCGUAAAAACCUAUUCCAUAUUUUGUUCCAUUUCGUGUUUGACAUCAAUUUGGCAAAAAAAACAAAUUUGAGAAAUUUUAGAAUUAUUGUAUGCAAAUUAUAAAAAAAAACAUUUGAAAAAUGCUACCGUUUAUGAACUAUCGGUUCCAGCACCAAAAACUCAAGUGUUGCGAAAAUUCAAUCUGUAUUUCAUCUCGUUUGGGCGCCCAUUCGCCUAUAAAAAAAAUACAUGGUGUUUAGUGGAAAUCAUGAUAGUUUGGUGGAAAGAUAUUAUUUUUUUGGCGUUUGACAACCCGGGCAAACGGUAAUAAAAAAAAUUCAUGCCAUUUUAAUAACAAAUACUGUUAAAAUAACAAAAAGUGUUAUGUAAUCUUCUUGAAAAAUCCAUUUUUGAAUAAGGAUUUAAUAACAGUUUCUGUUAUCAUAACAAAAUUUGUCAUUGGUCUGAUAUUGGUUGAACGCCAAAACAACUCGAGAAUAACAUGUUUUGUUAUGGAAGAACAACUCCAACUGUUAUUGGGAUGAUCGGAUAAGUUGUUAUAAUAACAAAAAAUAAUAACAAAGAUUUGUUCGUAGAAUCACUAAAAAUGUUAUUAGUCUGUUAUUACAAUAACAAUCCAAUAACAAACAAAUCAUAACGACGAAUAACGAAUUUUGUUAUAAAUAACAUAAAAUGUUAUUUGCUUAGUAUUCUCAAAUAUCAAAAAAAAAAUUAUUCCCAGGUUAUUUCCGUUUGCUCGUGACCCAUCAUGACAAAAAAAAUAACUACAAACGAGUAUAAGUCGAACCAACACAUAUAUGCGCCAGCAUUCUAGCGCCAGUAUUCGAAGCUCAACUUGUCUUGUUGACUUGGCGACGAAGCGUCGAAAAUCAAUGCAGUUUGAUUUUUUGGCGAUUUUUCCGAUUAAUAUUCAUGCUGUAUCGUCGUAUUUACGACGAUGACAAUGACGUCCAGCGAUAAAGUAAAACCUAUACCUUUCUUUAGUAAGAAAGUCAAAAAUAUAUAUAUUGUGAUAAAUCAUUCAAAAUUAUGUGUCAAUCGAUACCCAGACUGAUGAUAUUAAAGUCAGUCUUCCCGAAACGCACGCACGCCGUACACGCCGCACAAGUUUUCAGUGCAGAUGAACUUCAAACACACCAGGCUACCAUGUUCGAGUUCUCCCCGUACGGCGCACUCAAGUUUACACGCGGUUUAAACACGGGGUGCACACCUCGGGAACAUCGCCGUGCGAGCGAAGAGCGUAUAAAGAGACGAAAAAAAUGACUGCUUCUCACUUUCUCUGUGGCAAACACUUUAGUGUGACUGCAGCGGAGAAUGAAACACCUCUUUACAGCAGAGGAAGCGUGAGGGAAAUAUUUUUGUCUCUUUUCUGCGUCGUCGGCCUGCACGGGGUUUGUACCCGAGGUGCAAGGUUCGGUUUAAACUUGAGGUUCGUGUUCGGGUACAGCCUGUACACGGAAGAGUUUAGGUUUGCUUGUACGCGUGCACACGCGGUGCUGGUGUUUGAUCGAGUACAGAAAACAGAGAACGCGGUUCAACGCGGUGCACAGGGAUCACUGAUUAAAGUAUAUAAAAAAUGUUUCUUUUUUAAACCAGUGCAGGAAAAAAAAUAUGGUACUGCUAUUGAUUUUAAUUAUAAUCAUCAUUAAAUAAUUCACUUCGAAUUCCAAGGAAAAAAUAAGAAAAACCUGUUCAAAAACUAUGGCACUCAAAAAAUUAAAUCAAAAUAUAACUAUUAUAAAUAUUUCUUGAAGCCCCACAAAUUGAAGUAGCAAUAUUUAUUUUUGAAUUUCAAUUCAAAUAAUUUAAUAGAUGCACCGAUUUUCCAGAGAAUUGCUUUUGAUUUUUUGUAAGAGAUUUUGUGUUGUUGUCGGGAGCAUUAUCGCUCCAAACAUGUGUUGGAUUUUGGCAAUCUUUAGUCGUUCCCCGAUUACAUUUUGUCUAGCUUGGUGACCGUCUGUGUUUAGUUUAGUUUAGUUUGUUUAUUAUUUCUAGCAGUGUAAGGUUUCCACCUUUUAAAAUUACUGCUUUCGAUGUUACAUUGGUUUUUUACAUAAAAUUUGAUAACCUAAAUGAAAAACUACAUUAAAAACUAAAAUUUCAAAACUAGGAUUUCACUAGACGGAUUAGUCCUCAGGCACGUGUCAUCUUCCUUGUAGUCGUCAUAGGUUGUAUUUCUCAGCGUCGUCCAGGGUUCGUCCGAGGGGAUAGGGGGUUUGCCCCUUUAUACGACCUCUUCCAGGGGCACUCGGGAGCCCGGGGGGUAUUCCCUAUUCCACUAUUCCUGUAACGUGUGGUUAGGGGGGCCCCAGGUCUCCCGAGCGCCUCAGUGGAUUCUCCAGUUUGCGUCGUGUCUUCCAGGCACCCCGGAGGAGCCGGGGGGUUGUCCCUAUUCCACUCUUCCUUUGGCUUGUGGUUAGGGGGGCCCCGGGACCUCCGGGCGCGACAGUGGUUUGACUUUUUGCGGUUUCCUCAGGCAAAGUUAAAGCUGGUUAAAAAAUUCAAGGCAGCCUCUCUUAAAGAUCACUUCCGAUGUCGAACAUUUUACUGCCACGGGUAAUGAAUUCCAGUAAGCCACACCUCUCACGAAAAGGGAAUUUGCGUAGGUCUGCGUGCUGUUUCUUGGAAUCACAAGGUUCUGCAGACGGCGACCUCGGCACGGGAUAAGCUUUUGAUACAGUACAGGUGGAAACUGGUCUGUGUGUUUUUGUGUGAGUGUUGCUUUUUGCAGUUUGCCUUUUUUUUUGUUUUAGAGUUUUUGUUUAGCUAUUUACAAGACAUUUCAUCGCAUCGCUUCGCUUGCACCACAAAUUUAAAUAACGAAAAAUGGAAAACUUAAAAAGUUUUCCUCACCAGUAGUUGCUUUCAGCUGGUUCGAUCGACGAAACGAUGGCUGGCUGGCUGGCAGCACUGGCUUGGAGCUUUUACAGGCGGUGUAACGAAGCCAACGCUAGACAGAGGGCGGCGGUUAGAACAAGGACUACGUACGUUUGCCGAUGGGUGGUUUUCCCGUGGUGCAGUGAGGAGCCUGUAAGAUAAAA